GGGCCCGCACAAGCAGCGGAGCAUGUGGUUUAAUUCGAAGCAACGCGAAGAACCUUACCAGGGCUUGACAUCGCCUGCGACACAUGGAAACAUGUGGUUCUACCUUCGGGUAGACGGGCAGACAGGUGGUGCAUGGUUGUCGUCAGCUCGUGUCGUGAGAUGUUGGGUUAAGUCCCGCAACGAGCGCAACCCUUAUCCUUAGUUACCAACAGUAAGAUGGGGACUCUAGGGAGACUGCCGGGGAUAACUCGGAGGAAGGUGGGGACGACGUCAAAUCAUCAUGCCCCUUAUGUCCUGGGCUACACACGUGCUACAAUGGCCGUAAACAGAGGGAAGCAAGAGGGUAACCUGGAGCAAAUCUCAAAAAGCGGUCCCAGUUCGGAUUGUGGGCUGCAACCCGCCCACAUGAAGUCGGAGUUGCUAGUAAUCGCGAAUCAGCAUGUCG
rnacentral:rRNA from 1 species